rnacentral:tRNA from 1 species
GCACCGUUAGCUCAGUCGGUAGAGCAGCUGGCUCUUAACCAGCGGGUCACAGGUUCGAACCCUGCACGGUGUA